rnacentral:rRNA from 1 species
UACGUAGGGCGCAAGCGUUUGUCCGGAAUUAUUGGGCGUAAAGAGCUCGUAGGUGGUUUGUUACGUCUGCUGUGAAAACCUAGGGCUUAACCCUGGGCCUGCAGUGGAUACGGGCAGACUAGAGGUAGGUAGGGGAGAAUGGAAUUCCCGGUGUAGCGGUGAAAUGCGCAGAUAUCGGGAGGAACACCGGUGGCGAAGGCGGUUCUCUGGGCCUUACCUGACGCUGAGGAGCGAAAGCGUGGGGAGCGAACAGG